AGUCCAAUCUGCUCACUGAAAAUUUAAAGAGCCGCAGUAUACUGACUGUGCAAAGGUAGCAUAAUCAUUAGUUUUUUAAUUGAAAACUUGUAUGAAAGAUUAGACAAGAAAUUUAUUUUCUUUAUUUUAAUAGAUUUAAUUUUAAUUUUAAGUGAAAAUGCUUAAUUAUGUUUAAAAGACGAGAAGACCCUAUAGAUUUUGAUUUUAGAUUUAAGUAAUAUAAAUGACUUAUUAAUAAAAUUUAAUUGGGGCGAUUUUGUAAUACAAAAAACUUUUUUCAAUUAAACCAUAAAUAGGUGAAUUUUUUGAUCUAAAAUUUUUAAAGAAAGAUUAAAUUACCUUAGGGAUAACAGCGUAAUUUUAUUUAAGAGCUCAUAUCUAUAAUAAAGUUUGCGACCUCGAUGUUGAAUUAAGAUAAUAUAUUGGAGUAGAAAUUAAUAUAAUUAGUCUGUUCGACUAUUAAAUUCUUACGUGAUCUGAGUUCA
rnacentral:rRNA from 1 species